CCUACGGGGGGCAGCAGUGAGGAAUAUUGCACAAUGGGGGAAACCCUGAUGCAGCGACGCCGCGUGAGUGAAGAAGUAUCUCGGUACGUAAAGCUCUAUCAGCAGGGAAGAUAAUGACGGUACCUGACUAAGAAGCCCAGGCUAACUACGUGCCAGCAGCCGCGGUAAUACGUAGGGGGCAAGCGUUAUCCGGAUUUACUGGGUGUAAAGGGAGCGUAGACGGCAGGACAAGUCUGGAGUGAAAUCCCGGGGCUUAACCCCGGAACUGCUUUGGAAACUGUGCGGCUGGAGUGCAGAAGGGGUAAGCGGAAUGCCUAGUGUAGCGGUGAAAUGCGUAGAUAUUAGGAGGAACACCGGUGGCGAAGGCAGCUUACUGGACUGUAACUGACGUUGAGGCUCGAAAGCGUGGGGAGCAAACAGGAUUAGAUACCCCAGUAGUC
rnacentral:rRNA from 1 species